GACGAACGCUGGCGGCGUGCCUAAUACAUGCAAGUUGAGCGAUGAAGAUUGGUGCUUGCACCAAUUUGAAGAGCAGCGAACGGGUGAGUAACGCGUGGGGAAUCUGCCUUUGAGCGGGGGACAACAUUUGGAAACGAAUGCUAAUACCGCAUAACAACUUUAAACAUAAGUUUUAAGUUUGAAAGAUGCAAUUGCAUCACUCAAAGAUGAUCCCGCGUUGUAUUAGCUAGUUGGUGAGGUAAAGGCUCACCAAGGCGAUGAUACAUAGCCGACCUGAGGGGGUGAUCCGCCAAAUUGGGACUGAGACACGGCCCAAACUCCUACGGGAGGCAGCAGUAGGGAAUCUUCGGCAAUGGACGAAAGUCUGACCGAGCAACGCCGCGUGAGUGAAGAAGGUUUUCGGAUCGUAAAACUCUGUUGGUAGAGAAGAACGUUGGUGAGAGUGGAAAGCUCAUCAAGUGACGGUAACUACCCAGAAAGGGACGGCUAACUACGUG
rnacentral:rRNA from 1 species